AAAAAGAACAAAAAAAAAGAAACAAGAAAAGGAAGAUCCUGAUUUCCCACAUUGCCACCCUUUUUGGCUGAACUCGCUUCUUCAUCUUUCUUUCUCACAUUUCCCUGUUGCCACUUUUCUC
rnacentral:ribozyme from 1 species